rnacentral:lncRNA from 1 species
UUUCCCUUUUGCUUUUCUUUUGGGGUUCUUGCCUUUUUCUUUUGUGGUAUCCACUUGUGUAAAUAUUUUAAAUUGACGAUCGAAUUAGUUCAUUGUAUUCAUAUAGGUUUAAAGAGUGUAGCUGUAAAAAAUCAUCAAAAUCAGAGUUAAAAUAAUCGUUAAAUCGUGAUCUUUCGUUUAUAGCCGUCCAAAAGGUUUGUCCUGUUACAUAAUCUCUGAAUGUUUGAUGGUUAGAUCGUUUAAACUAAUUUCGUAUAAUGUGUUUCUCAUCAAGUUCAAUGGUUAUAUAUAUUCACACCUACGUCGUGCAAAGUUUUUUUUUUCUUUUUUUUUUGCCCUUUUGCUUUUCUUUUGGGGUUCUUGCAUUGCCUUUUUCUUUUGUGGUAUCCACUUGUGUAAAUGUUUUAAAUUGACGAUCGAAUUAGUUCAUUGUAUUCAUAUAGGUUUAAAGAGUGUAGCUGUAAAAAAUCAUCAAAAUCAAAGUUAAAAUAACCGUUAAAUCGUGAUUUUUCAUUUAUAACUAUCCAAAAGGUUUGUCUCGUUACAUAAUCUCUGAAUGUUUGAUGGUUAGAUCGUUGAAACUAAUUUCGUAUAAUGUGUUUCUUAUCAAGUUCAAUGGUAUAUAUAUAAGUAUAUUUUAAUUUAUUUAUUUUGUACUCAUAAGCAAAAGAGAGAAAAAAAAAAAAAAAAAACAACUUUGCACGACGUAGGUGAACCUGCGUCGCGCAAAGUUGUUUUGCGCAACGCAUCACCUACGUCGUGCAAAGUUUAUUUAUUUAUUUAUUGCCCUUUUGCUUUUCUUUUGAGGUUCUUACAUUGCCUUUUUCUUUUGUUGUAUCCACUUGUGUAAAUGUUUUAAAUUGACGAUCGAAUUAAUUCAUUGUAUUCAUAUAAGAGUGUAGCUAUAAAAAAUCAUCAAAAUUAAAGUUAAAAUAACCAUUAAAUCGUGUUUUUUCGUUUAUAGUCGUCCAAAAGGUUUGUCUCAUUACAUAAUCUCUGAAUGUUUGACAGUUAGAUCGUUGAACUAAUUUCGUAUAAUGUGUUUCCCAUCAAGUUCAAUGGUAUAUAUAUUUACUAAGUAGAUUUUAAUUUAUUUAUUUUGUACUCAUAAGUCAUAAGCAAAAGAGCAAAAAAAAAAAAACAACUUUGCACGACGUAGGUGAACCUGCGUCGCGCAAAGUUGUUUUGCGCGACGCAACACCUACGUCGUGCAAAGUGUUUUUUCUUUUUUUUUCUCUUUUUUUGCCCUUUUGCUUUUCUUUUGGGGUUCUUGCAUUGCCUUUUUCUUUUGUGGCAUCCACUUAUGUAAAUGUUUUAAAUUAACAAUUGAAUUAGUUCAUUGUAUUUAUAUAGGUUUAAAGAGUGUGGCUGUAAAAAAUCAUCAAAAUCAGAGUUAAAAUAACCGUUAAAUCGUGAUUUUUCGUUUAUAGUUAUCCAAAGGGUUUGUCCCAUUACAUAAUCUCUGAAUGUUUGACGGUUAGAUCAUUGAACUAAUUUCGUAUAAUGUGUUUUCCAUCAAGUUCAAUGGUAUAUAUAUUUACUAAGUAGAUUUUAAUUUAUUUAUUUUGUACUCAUAAGCAAAAGAGCAAAAAAAAAAAAAAAAAAAAAAAAAAACUUUGCGCGACGCAGUUGCACGUACGUUGCGCAAAGCUGAUUUUUUUUUCCUUUUGCUUUUCUUUUGGGAUUCUUGCAUUGCCUUUUUCUUUUGUGGUAUCCACUUGUGUAAAUGUUUUAAAUUGACGAUCGAAUUAGUUCAUUGUAUUCAUAUAAAUUUAAAGAGUGUAGCUAUAAAAAAUCAUCAAAAUCGGAGUUAAAAUAACCAUUAAAUCAUGAUUUUUUUGUUUAUAGUCGUCGAAAAUGUUUGUCUUGUUACUUGAUUUCUGAAUGUUUGUUUUUUGCGAUUUUUAACGUAUGUGAUCUCAAAGCAUAUAUAAACAAACAAGUUUGACGGUUGGAUCGUUGAAACUAGUUUCAUACAAUGCAUAUCCCAUCAAAACAAUAGAUUCACUAACACUUGAAGUUUAUUUAUACUUUUAUUAAGUAUAACAUAAGAUUUUGUGGUAUCCACUUGUGUAAAUAUUUUAAAUUGACAAUCGGAGUUAAAAGAACCGUUAAAUCGUGACUUUUCGUUUAUAGUCAUCCAAAAGGUUUGUCUCGUUACUUGAUAUCUGAAUGUUUGUUUUUUGCGAUUUUUGGUGUAUGCGAUCUCAAAGUAUAUACAAGCAAGUUUGACGGUUGGAUCGUUGAAAUUAGUUUCGUACAAUGCAUAUCUCAUCAAAACGAUAGAUUCCCUAACACUUAGAGUUUAUUUAUACUUUCAUCAAGUAUAACAUAAGAUUUGUGUGGUAUCCACUUGUGUAAAUAUUUUAAAUUGACGAUCGAAUCUGUUCGUUGUAUUCAUAUAAGUUCAAGGAGUAUAGCUGUAAAAAAAUCAUCAAAAUCGGAGUUAAAAGAACCGUUAAAUCGUGAUUUUUCGUUUAUAACCGUCGAAAAGUUUUGUCCCGUUACUUGAUCUCUGCAUAUUUGUUUUUUUUCAAUUUUUGGUGUAUGCGAUCUCAAAGCAUAUACAAACAAGUUUGACGGUUGGAUCUUUGAAACUAGUUUCGUACAAUGUGUAUCCCAUAAAAACGAUAGAUUCCUUAACACUUAGAGUUUAUUUAUACUAUCAUUAAGUUUAACAUAACAUUUUGUAGUAUCCACUUGUGUAAAUAUUUUCAAUUGACGAUCAAAUCAAUUCGUUGUAUUCAUAUAGGCUCAAGGAGUGUAGCUGUAAAAAAUCAUCAAAAUCGGAGUUAAAAUAACCGUUAAAUCGUGAUUUUUCGUUUAUAACCGUCGAAAAGUUUUGUCCCGUUACUUGAUCUCUGCGUGGUU